rnacentral:lncRNA from 1 species
UUCUUCUCUUUAGAUACCCUAUAUACAACCGUACUCCUCUCCGUCGUUACGGAAGAUGUACCGGUGGCGGGCUGCCACCUCGGCAUUGCCCGCCUCCCGGCGGAUGCUGGCGGGGCUUCUCGCCUGUUGCCGUCGGCCCGCGGCCGUGCCGGCGGCCGAUCCCCGUCCCCCGGCCGCCCCGGUGGCUGGGGAGCUGCGCGGCGCUCCCUCCCCUGCGGGGCUCGGCGUGAGCGCUGCCGGCGGCGCGGCCCGUGGGCUGGGCACGCCGCCGUCCGGCGCGGGCGCGCGUCGCUCCCCACCGGCCGGGAGUCACCGGGCGGCUCCUCCGACGUCGUAGCCGUGAGAGCCAGGACUUUCCAUGGGAAUUACAGUGUGGCCAGGGCUCGCUCGGCUAGCCUGGGCUCUCGGAGCAGUCCCACCGGGGCGGCCGCGAGCCUAGCAGCCGGGCCGGACGGGCACCUGGAGCAGCAGGACCUGCCUGCUCUCCGGCGGGUGGCACUUGCUGGCGUGCCGCGCCAGCCCGGGCGCGCUGAAGAAGGUGGCGGGGCAGUGUUUGCAGGGGAAGCCCUGCCGCUCGCCGCCCGCCGCGCCGCUCUCGGGGACCCCGGCGGGCGGCGGCGGCGGCGGCGGCAGCAGCAGCUCCUCCCGCACGGCGUGCCACAGCCGGUGUUUGUCCCUGAUGUCCGCCGAGGGGAAGCGGGCGCCGCAGAGGUGGCAGGCGAAGGUGAGGGGCCCGCGCUCCGGCGGGCCGAAGGCGGCGGGCCGCGCCGCCCCGUGGGUGCCCAGGUGCUUGCGGAGGUAAGCCUGCCGCCGGAACCGCUUUUGGCAGCAGGGGCAGGCGAACGCCUCACCGCCGGGGCCGCCGCCCGGACCGGGAGCGCCGCCGUGAGCCGGGCCGGGGCUGGAGCCGCGGGCGGUCGGGGCGCCGCCGGCGCUGUCCGCGCCGCCGCGGUGCUGACGGGUCGGCGGCGGUGGCUGGGGCGCGACGGGGCCGCGGGGCCGCCGCUCGGGGCUGUUCUCCUUGCCCGGCGGGGCGGAGGCGGCGGCUUCGGCGCUGGGGCCGGGACGCGGCUUGUGCCAGCGGCGAUGCGAGGCCAGGUUGGCGGGACAGCUGAAGAUCUUGUGGCACUCGGGGCAGCGGUACUCGACGCGCACGAUGCGGGAGCAGCGGUGCUGGGCCAGCGCCAGCGGGUCCGCGUACUGCUCCUUGCACAGCUGGCAGAUGAACUCGCCCAGCGGCGUGCGCCCCGCCGGCGGCCCCGGCCGGCCCUCGGGCCCCUCCUCUUUGAUCCGCAGCCCCAGCACGGGCGAGGUGGUCACCUCGUCGGCGAAGCUCAGCUUCCGCGUGGCCUUGCCCUUCUUGGCCGGCGCCUUGGCCCGAGACGGCCGCUUCAUCGCGGGCACGGACGGCAGCGACGGGGCGGGCAGCGGCGUGCGCGGCUGCAGCAGCAGCUUCUCGGCGGGCGGGAAGGAGGCGGCCAGGGGGAAGGACUCGGCGGAGGCGGGGGAGCUGAGGCACCGCUCGAAGAGAGCCGCCCGCGGCCCCGCCGCGCUGCACGGCCCCGUCGCCCCCCAGGCGGCCGGAGCCUCCGGUGGGGUGAGCCCGGGGCCGCCGCAGCCGCCGCCGGGCGGCCACGUCGCGGGGCGAGCGGCGACGGCUCCCUCCUCCUCCUCGCACUUCUCCUGCUCCGCUCCCUGUCUAGCCGCGGGGCUGUCCCCGCCGGCGGGCGGCGGGGCCGGCGGCGGGGUGGGCGGAGGGUCCCGCUCCGGGUCCCGCUCCCGCGGGCGUGCCCGGUAGGAGCCGCCGGGUCUCCGGCUGCGCUUGACGAGGAAGCCGCGCGGCAUGGCGGGGCGGGG